UGAAGAAGGUUUUCGGAUCGUAAAGCUCUGUUGUUGGUGAAGAAGGAUGUGAGUAGUAACUGGCUCAUAUUUGACGGUAAUCAACCAGAAAGUCACGGCUAACUACGUGCCAGCAGCCGCGGUAAUACGUAGGUGGCAAGCGUUGUCCGGAUUUAUUGGGCGUAAAGCGAGCGCAGGCGGAAUGAUAAGUCUGAUGUGAAAGCCCACGGCUCAACCGUGGAACUGCAUCGGAAACUGUCAUUCUUGAGUGCAGAAGAGGAGAGUGGAACUCCAUGUGUAGCGGUGGAAUGCGUAGAUAUAUGGAAGAACACCAGUGGCGAAGGCGGCUCUCUGGUCUGCAACUGACGCUGAGGCUCGAAAGCAUGGGUAGCGAACAGGAUUAGAUACCCUGGUAGUCCAUGCCGUAAACGAUGAGCGCUAGGUGUUGGGGACUUUCCGGUCCUCAGUGCCGCAGCAAACGCAUUAAGCGCUCCGCCUGGGGAGUACGACCGCAAGGUUGAAACUCAAAGGAAUUGACGGGGGCCCGCACAAGCGGUGGAGCAUGUGGUUUAAUUCGAAGCAACGCGAAGAACCUUACCAGGUCUUGACAUCCUGAGACCAUUAUAGAGAUAUAAUUUUCCCUUCGGGGACUCAGAGACAGGUGGUGCAUGGCUGUCGUCAGCUCGUGUCGUGAGAUGUUGGGUUAAGUCCCGCAACGAGCGCAACCCUUGUCUUUAGUUGCCAGCAUUAAGUUGGGCACUCUAGAGAGACUGCCGGUGACAAACCGGAGGAAGGUGGGGAUGACGUCAAGUCAUCAUGCCCCUUAUGACCUGGGCUACACACGUGCUACAAUGGGCAGUACAACGAGAAGCGAACCUGCGAAGGCAAGCGGAUCUCUUAAAGCUGUUCUCAGUUCGGACUGCAGGCUGCAACUCGCCUGCACGAAGCUGGAAUCGCUAGUAAUCGCGGAUCAGCACGCCGCGGUGAAUACGUUCCCGGGCCUUGUACACACCGCCCGUCACACCAUGGAAGUCUGCAAUGCCCAAAGUCGGUGGGAUAACCC
rnacentral:rRNA from 1 species